CACUCCCUGCUCCUCUGUGUGAGUUCGGUUUAUUUUGAAGUCGUUGCUGUCAGUCAGCUGAUGCGGAAGGCUGCGCGUGUGUUUUGUGGCUUUUAUUGUGAAACGAAAACGGUCCGGAAAUGCAAAAAAAAAAAAAAAAAAAAAAAAGUGUGUCGCAGCUCACUAAAGUGUAAACCCGGGAAGUUGCAGGUGCAGAAAAAUGAACCUUAUUCUGAACUCAGCCCGCAGGAGAGCCGAGGGAAAUGUCUUCAGCGAGGGAGAAGAUGAUCUCCAGCCUCCUGCUGCUGCUGGUCCUGACCUCCUCUGUCUGCGGACGAAUUGUUGUGAAUGUGAGCCAGACUGUCUACCAGGCUGUGGAGAACAGUAACAUCAUGAUGGAGUGGAUCUUCACGCCCAUCAUUACCCUCACCAA
rnacentral:lncRNA from 1 species